rnacentral:rRNA from 1 species
AUUGAACGCUGGCGGCAGGCCUAACACAUGCGAGUCGAGCGGGGUUUUCGGACCUAGCGGCGGACGGGUGAGUAAUGCGUAGGAAGCUACCCGAUAGAGGGGGAUACCAGUUGGAAACGACUGUUAAUACCGCAUAAUGUCUACGGACCAAAGUGUGGGACCUUCGGGCCACAUGCUAUCGGAUGCGCCUACGUGGGAUUAGCUAGUUGGUGAGGUAAUGGCUCACAAAGGCGACGAUCUCUAGCUGGUUUGAGAGGAUGAUCAGCCACACUGGAACUGAGACACGGUCCAGACUCCUACGGGAGGCAGCAGUGGGGAAUAUUGGACAAUGGGCGCAAGCCUGAUCCAGCCAUGCCGCGUGUGUGAAGAAGGCCUUCGGGUUGUAAAGCACUUUCAGCGAGGGGGAAGGGUGGUGUGUUAAUAGCACAUCAUUUUGACGUUACUCGCAGAAGAAGCACCGGCUAACUCUGUGCCAGCAGCCGCCGUAAAAC